GACGAACCGAGCGAACGUUGUUCGGAAUCACUGGGCUUAAAGGGCGCGUAGGCGGCUUGUCAAGUCGGUGGUGAAAUCCUGCAGCUUAACUGUAGAAGUGCCUCCGAUACUGACGAGCUCGAGGGAGGUAGGGGUCUUUGGAACUUCUGGUGGAGCGGUGAAAUGCGUUGAUAUCAGAAGGAACGCCGGUGGCGAAAGCGAAGGACUGGACCUCUUCUGACGCUGAGGCGCGAAAGCUAGGGGAGCGAACGGG
rnacentral:rRNA from 1 species